rnacentral:rRNA from 1 species
GAUAGAAGGGGCGAGCGUUUUUAGGAAUCACUGGGCGUAAAGCGCACGCAGGCGGAUCGAUAAGUCGGGGGUGAAAGCCCGGGGCUCAACCUCGGAAUUGCCUUCGAUACUGUCGGUCUCGAGUCCGGGAGAGGUGAGUGGAAUUCCUAGUGUAGAGGUGAAAUUCGUAGAUAUUAGGAAGAACACCAGUGGCGAAGGCGGCUCACUGGCCCGGUACUGACGCUCAGGUGCGAAAGCGUGGGGAGCAAACAGG